UCCUAUGUGUGGAUGGUAAUUCCAGUUUUGUAAUAUCUGACACUCUGUCUUGUUGGGGACUUUGGAUCCCAUCCUUGGGAUCGAUUCACCAGGCACUUCCUAUGGGGGCUUGCCCGGGAUCCCACAAAAGAAGCAGAGUUUGACCAACAGAGGGAGGGGACCGUUAUUGCCGGGGUAACUUGAGAUAACAGGGCCUGGAACACGUCACAUCUCGGUGGAAUAUGGUACAAUCCGAUUCUGAGCCUCUCUGCCCCGAACUAUUAAACACCAUAGAUCUGUUUUUGACUGGAGAAAAAAGCACCUUCAUGGAUAAGGUGAUGGAUUACACCUCAGAUAAUGAAACCAUAAGUGCUGCUGAGGAACUAAAAAAUUGUGUGGACUCAACCAUAGAGCCUCAGUAUCAACAGAGCAUGAAUAAAUAUAUGGAAUGGCUCUCUGAAAAUUUGUGUUAGGACGUUUUAUGAGUCAAGCGGACAGACCAUUAAGGAAGAUCAUAUAAGACCAACCUCACCACACCAUGCUUGCCUACCAUCAUCUAGACUUGUUGAUCCUCUUUUACUGAUCACGACCUGGGUCACUGACCAGCCUAUCAUGAUUCUACUCUUCUACUCUCUAGAGACCCCUCAGCCUCUACCCAGUCAUGUCAUUUCCAGGGACAAGGAUCUUAGGAUACACUAAAAUUACAUGCAGUUAAAACACUCAGUAUCUGUGUUUUCUUCCAAAUGGUUGGGGUGGGGGGAAGGUUAGUAACUGAAAAGGACUGCUGAGAGGUGAGGGCGCCAAUCCCCUUCAGAGAUGCCCUGUCAUUGACUUGAAACUCUUUCAUGCACACCCCCAAGAAGCCCAGCUCCCUGAUAUGACUCUCCUCAUUGGAGUCCAGAGGUAAAAGUCCAGGAAAAAAAGUCUAUAAUCCAGCCAAUGUGACAAGCACUAUUUAAGUGCUAGAGAUUAAAAAAAAAGGCAAAAGAUAGUCCCUUCGGUCAGCACACAAAAGAAAGCUAAAAGGGAAGAAGGAAAAGGGAAGUUUUGGGGGUUCAAAAGUAUAAUGGAAAAGUCCAGAGGAGAGCAACUGGGAGAGAAAUGAAGAGAUGGCUUACCUGUGUGCCCUCCUUGAAUGAAGGUUUUGAGAGGAACUCUCCACUCUCCAGUCAGAGGGAGGAACCUCAGGAGUAUGUCAGAGGGUACUGAGCAGGUGGGAGUAGCAGAACUGAUUUGAUCUUCCAAGAGAAGAAGUCCAGAAGAGGACAUCCUGGUAAGAAAGGAAGAGAUGGCCUACUUGGGCACUCUCCUUAAUUAUCCAUCUGCUCCUGAAGUCAUCAUUCUCAAGACUAUUUCCCAUGGGAGAGGUCUCAUAUACUGAAUCAUCAUCACCAUACACUGAGUACUCAUCUGACUCCAUAUUCUGAACUAUCACAUCUCUAUUAUUUACUUUUCCAACUUGAAUCUUUCUCU
rnacentral:lncRNA from 1 species